UUAUCCUACGGGAGGCAGCAGUGGGGAAUAUUGCUCAAUGGGGGAAACCCUGAUGCAGCGACGCCGCGUGAGUGAAGAAGUAUUUCGGUAUGUAAAGCUCUAUCAGCAGGGAAGAAGCAAGACGGUACCUGACUAAGAAGCCCCGGCUAACUACGUGCCAGCAGCCGCGGUAAUACGUAGGGGGCAAGCGUUAUCCGGAUUUACUGGGUGUAAAGGGAGCGUAGACGGAAUGGCAAGUCUGAAGUGAAAGCCCAGGGCUUAACCCUGGGACUGCUUUGGAAACUGUUAGACUAUAGUGCUGGGGG
rnacentral:rRNA from 1 species